rnacentral:rRNA from 1 species
GACGAACGCUGGCGGCGUGCCUAAUACAUGCAAGUCGAACGAAGCUGUUUUAACUGGUGCUUGCACCGACUUAAACAACUGAGUGGCGAACGGGUGAGUAACACGUGGGUAACCUGCCCCAAAGCGGGGGAUAACAUUUGGAAACAGAUGCUAAUACCGCAUAACCACAGAAACCACAUGGUUUCUGUGUCAAAGAUGGUUUCGGCUAUCACUUUGGGAUGGACCCGCGGCGUAUUAGCUAGUUGGUAAGGUAAUGGCUUACCAAGGCAAUGAUACGUAGCCGAACUGAUAGGUUGAUCGGCCACAUUGGGCCUGAGACACGGCCCAAACUCCUACGGGAGGCAGCAGUAGGGAAUCUUCCACAAUGGACGAAAGUCUGAUGGAGCAACGCCGCGUGAGUGAAGAAGGUUUUCGGAUCGUAAAACUCUGUUGUCAGAGAAGAACGUGUGCGAGAGUAACUGCUCGUGCAGUGACGGUAUCUGGCCAGAAAGCCACGGCUAACUACGUGCCAGCCGCCGCGGUAA